UACGUAGGUGGCAAGCGUUGUCCGGAUUUAUUGGGUUUAAAGGGUGCGUAGGUGGUCUAUUAAGUCAGUGCUGAAAUAUCCCGGCUUAACCGGGAGGGUGGCAUUGAUACUGAUGGACUCGAGUGGAGUUGAGGUAGGCGGAAUUGACGGUGUAGCGGUGAAAUGCUUAGAUAUCGUCAAGAACACCAAUAGCGAAGGCAGCUUACUAAGCUCUAACUGACACUGAUGCACGAAAGUGUGGGGAUCAAACAGG
rnacentral:rRNA from 1 species